GACGAACGCUGGCGGCGUGCCUAAUACAUGCAAGUCGAGCGGACAGAAGGGAGCUUGCUCCUGGAAGUUAGCGGCGGACGGGUGAGUAACACGUGGGCAACCUACCCUGUAGAUCGGGAUAACAUCGAGAAAUCGGUGCUAAUACCGGAUAAUCAUUUGAAGUGCAUGCUUCGAAUGUAAAAGAUGGCUCCGGCUAUCACUACGGGAUGGGCCCGCGGCGCAUUAGCUAGUUGGUAAGGUAAUGGCUUACCAAGGCAACGAUGCGUAGCCGACCUGAGAGGGUGAUCGGCCACACUGGGACUGAGACACGGCCCAGACUCCUACGGGAGGCAGCAGUAGGGAAUCUUCCGCAAUGGACGAAAGUCUGACGGAGCAACGCCGCGUGAGUGAUGAAGGUUUUCGGAUCGUAAAGCUCUGUUGUUAGGGAAGAACAAGUGCCGUUUGAAUAAGGCGGCACCUUGACGGUACCUAACCAGAAAGCCACGGCUAACUACGUGCAGCCGCCGCCGUAAGAC
rnacentral:rRNA from 1 species